rnacentral:rRNA from 1 species
UACGUGGGGGGCAAGCGUUGUUCGGAAUUACUGGGCGUAAAGGGCGCGUAGGCGGCCUUCUAAGUCGGACGUGAAAUCCCUCGGCUUAACCGAGGAACUGCGUCCGAUACUGAAAGGCUUGAAUCCGGGAGAGGGAUGUGGAAUUCCAGGUGUAGCGGUGAAAUGCGUAGAUAUCUGGAGGAACACCGGUGGCGAAGGCGGCAUUCUGGACCGAAACUGACGCUGAGGCGCGAAAGCCAGGGGAGCAAACGGG